AGCGUAGGUGGCCUAACAUGUCAACUGUGAAAACCCGGAGCUCAACUCCGGACUUGCAGUUGAAACUGGUAGGCUUGAGGACGGUAGAGGAAGACGGAACUGCCAGUGUAGGGGUAAAUCCUUAGAUAUUGGCAGGAACGCCGGUGACGAAGGUGGUUUUCUGGGCCGGUUCUGACACUGAUGCUCGAAAGCCAGGGGAGCGAACGG
rnacentral:rRNA from 1 species